rnacentral:rRNA from 1 species
GGCCAAGCUAUUAAGGGUAUACGGUGGAUGCCUUGGCGAGUCCUGGCGAUGAAGGACGUGGCAAGCUGCGAUAAGCCCCGGGGAGGUGCAAGCAACCUGUGAUCCGGGGAUUUCCGAAUGGGGUAACCCAUCCAUCUGUAAAGAUGGAUAUCCACGAGUUUAGCUCGUGGAGGCGAACCGGGGGAAGUGAACCAUCUCAGUACCCCGAGGAAAAGAAAGAAAAAUUCGAUUCCCUGAGUAGCGGCGAGCGAAAGGGGAGGAGCCCAAACCGAAUAAGGGCAAAAGCGUAGGCGCGUUCCUUAUUCGGGGUUGUAGGGUCUGGCACGGAAAGGCCUACCUUUCCUAAAGGCGCAUAAAAUUCCCCAAAAUAGCCGAAUGACAUGGAAAGGUCAACCAUAGAAGGUGAAAGUCCUGUAGGCAAAAUUUUGGGGAUGCCUGAAGCCAGAUUCCUGAGUACUACGAAGGAGCCGAGGAACUUCGUAGGAAGCUGGGAGGACCACCUCCCAAGGCUAAAUACACGGACUCGACCGAUAGUGGACAAGUACCGCGAGGGAAAGGUGAAAAGAACCCCGGAAGGGGAGUGAAAUAGAACCUGAAACCGUAUGCCUACAAGCAGUCGGAGUCCGUUUUUUAACGGAUGACGGCGUGCCUAUUGAAGAAUGAGCCAGCGAGUUACUGGCUGCGGCAAGGUUAAUCCACUUUAGUGGAGUAGCCGUAGCGAAAGCGAGUGGUCCUAACUGGGCCCAUUAGUCGCAGUCAGUAGACCCGAAGCCGGGCGAUCUAACCAUGGCCAGGGUGAACCUGCCUUAACAGGCGGGGGAGGCCCGAACCGGUGGUUGUUGCAAAAACCUCGGAUGAGCUGUGGUUAGGAGUGAAAGGCUAAUCAAGCUCGGUGAUAGCUGGUUCUCCCCGAAAUGCCUUUAGGGGCAGCCUCACCUUAUAGGAUAGUGGGGGUAGAGCACUGAUAGGACAAGUUCACCGAUAGGUGAGCAAGUCCUUUCAAACUCCGAAUACCACUAUCCGUUCGGUGGGAGUGAGACGGUGGGGGAUAAGCUCCAUCGUCAAAAGGGGUACAGCCCAGACCAUCGGCUAAGGUCCCUAAAUCUGGUCUAAGUGGUAAAGGAAGUGGAGUUACAUAGACAACCAGGAGGUUGGCUUAGAAGCAGCCAUCCUUUAAAGAAAGCGUAACAGCUCACUGGUCGAUGUAACUCUGCGCCGACAAUUUAACGGGGCUUAAGACCAGUACCGAAGCCAUGGCUUUCCCUACAGAUAGUAGGGAAGGGGUAGGGGAGCAUUCCCUGGCGGUGAAGGUAUUCCGUAAGGAAUACUGGAGCCAAGGGAAGAGAGAAUGCUGGCAUAAGUAGCGAAAAAGUGGGUGAGAAUCCCACUGGCCGAAAGCCUAAGGUUUCCUGGGGAAGGUUCGUCCUCCCAGGGUUAGGCGGGAGCUAAGCUGAGGCCGAAAGGCGUAGGCGAUGCACAGCCGGUUAAUAUUCCGGCCCCACCUGGUAAGCGUUAUUACCGAAGGGGUGACGGAAAAGGAUAGGUCAGCCGGUGACUGGUAGUGCCGGUUCAACCUUAGAGGUCUGCUUGUGGCAAAUCCAUGAGCAACAAAGACCGAAGAGGGAGUACGAGUCCAACCGCAAGGGCGGACGAAGUGAUCAAGUCCUUUUCCCGAGAAAAACCUCGUAGGGAGUUUAUCAGGUGCCCGUACCGCAAUCCGACACAGGUAGGCUGGGGGAGUACCCUAAGGCCCGCGAGAGAACUCUCGCUAAGGAACUCGGCAAGUUAGCCCCGUAACUUCGGGAGAAGGGGUGCCUGAGUAGGGUGAGGUUUACCCAUAGCCAAGCCCGAAAAGGCCGCAGUGAAAUGGCUCCCGCGACUGUUUACCAAAAACACAGGGCUCUGCAAACUCGUCAAGAGGAUGUAUAGAGCCUGACAAGUGCCCGGCGCCGGAAGGUUAAGGGGAGAUGUUAUCCGCAAGGAGAAGCAUCGAACCUAAGCCCCGGCAAGCGGCGGCCGUAACUAUAACCUGGGACGUUGUAGUUACGUAAAUAAACCUGGCUGUAUGCGGGAAACUCCGGAGUGCUAGAAGAUACUUACACACAGAUGUAAGUAACAA